rnacentral:rRNA from 1 species
AUGAACGCUAGCGGCAGGCCUAAUACAUGCAAGUCGAACGGUAACAUGAGUAGCAAUACUUGAUGACGAGUGGCGCACGGGUGCGUAACGCGUAUGCAAUCUACCUUCAACUGGUGAAUAGCCCGAAGAAAUUCGGAUUAAUACACCAUAGUAUAUAGAGAUGGCAUCAUUUUUAUAUUAAAACUCCGGUGGUUGAAGAUGAGCAUGCGUGACAUUAGCUAGUUGGUAAGGUAAUGGCUUACCAAGGCUACGAUGUCUAGGGGAUCUGAGAGGAUUAACCCCCACACUGGUACUGAGACACGGACCAGACUCCUACGGGAGGCAGCAGUAAGGAAUAUUGGACAAUGGUCGAAAGACUGAUCCAGCCAUGCCGCGUGCAGGAUGACAGCCCUAUGGGUCGUAAACUGCUUUUGUGCGAGAAAAAACCCCUCUACGUGUAGAGGGCUGAUUGUAUCGUAAGAAUAAGGAUCGGCUAACUCCGU